UGGGAUUAAAACAAAGGCACAGUGAACUCAGAGCAUCCUUGGGAUUACUCAGGAACCAGAACUUUUCACACAAAUGUAAGAAAUUCUACCAAGAUAUCCCUUUACCUAACAGCAUCUCACAAAGCUCCAAUCAGAUUCCAGAAAAGGCCUCUUGAUACAUCCAGGUAGAACCUA
ensembl:misc_RNA